rnacentral:rRNA from 1 species
CACGUAUUUAGCCGUCACUUCUUCUGUUGGUACCGUCAUUUUUUUCUUCCCAACUGAAAGCACCUUACAUUCCGAAAAACUUCAUCGUGCACACAGAAUUGCUGGAUCAGACUCUUGGUCCAUUGUCCAAUAUUCCCCACUGCUGCCUCCCGUAGGAGUGAGGGCCGUGUCUCAGUCCCCUUGUGGCCGAUCACCCUCUCAGGCCGGCUACCCAUCAUCGCCUUGGUGAGCCGUUACCUCUCCAACUAGCUAAUGGGACGCAAAGCUCUCUCACAGCGCAUAUAGCUUUCAUAAUCCUAAGAUGACCCUAAAAUCAUAAUAUCAGGUAUUAGCUAUUCGUUUCCAAAUUGUUGUCCCUAUCUGUGAGGCAAGUUCUUUACGCGUUACUCACCCGUCCGCCUACCCAAACCGAAGUUCAAGUUGACUUGCAUGUACGUUAAGCUAUUCUGUCAGUCGUUCAUUCCUAGAGCCAAGGUACUACAAACGUCU